UACGUAGGGUGCGAGCGUUAAUCGGAAUUACUGGGCGUAAAGCGUGCGCAGGCGGUGAUGUAAGACAGUUGUGAAAUCCCCGGGCUCAACCUGGGAACUGCAUCUGUGACUGCAUCGCUGGAGUGCGGCAGAGGGGGAUGGAAUUCCGCGUGUAGCAGUGAAAUGCGUAGAUAUGCGGAGGAACACCGAUGGCGAAGGCAAUCCCCUGGGCCUGCACUGACGCUCAUGCACGAAAGCGUGGGGAGCAAAC
rnacentral:rRNA from 1 species